GAGAGAGAUAUGCAGAGAGAUUUUGCCUACUUACUUACACAGACCCAUUUAAGAGGCAAACUACAAAACAAAGCAUGAGCUAAUAAUAAUACACAGAGAGAGAGAGAGAUCUUCUGGAAGAAUAGAGCUAUCAGAAAGUACCCAAGUAUUGUCUUUAAAGCUCUGAUCUGCGAAGAAGACAGUAUUAGGCUUGCUUUUACUUUGUCUUUGGGCAAAAUGGUAUGUGUAAAGAAGAGAAUAAACAGCCCACGGAUCAUGAAAAUUGAUGGUUGCAGCAGAAGAGAGAAAGAGGAAGAAAAGAAAAUUGAACUUAAACUAUUUGGUUUUGUUUUAUUACCUGAUAUGGGGUUGAGGUGAAUUAGGGUUUU
rnacentral:misc_RNA from 1 species